rnacentral:rRNA from 1 species
AUUGAACGCUGGCGGCAGGCCUAACACAUGCAAGUCGAGCGGAUGAAGAGAGCUUGCUCUCUGAUUCAGCGGCGGACGGGUGAGUAAUGCCUAGGAAUCUGCCUGGUGGUGGGGGACAACGUUUCGAAAGGAACGCUAAUACCGCAUACGUCCUACGGGAGAAAGUGGGGGAUCUUCGGACCUCACGCUAUCGGAUGAGCCUAGGUACGAUUAGCUAGUUGGUGAGGUAAAGGCUCACCAAGGCGACGAUCGUUAACUGGUCUGAGAGGAUGAUCAGUCACACUGGAACUGAGACACGGUCCAGACUCCUACGGGAGGCAGCAGUGGGGAAUAUUGGACAAUGGGCGAAAGCCUGAUCCAGCCAUGCCGCGUGUGUGAAGAAGGUCUUCGGAUUGUAAAGCACUUUAAGUUGGGAGGAAGGGCAGUAAGUUAAUACCUUGCUGUUUUGACGUUACCGACAGAAUAAGCACCGGCUAACUUCGUGCCAGCCGCCGCGGUAAUAC